UACGUAGGGUGCAAGCGUUGUCCGGAAUUAUUGGGCGUAAAGAGCUCGUAGGCGGUUUGUCGCGUCUGCUGUGAAAACCCGAGGCUCAACCUCGGGCCUGCAGUGGGUACGGGCAGACUAGAGUGCGGUAGGGGAGAUUGGAAUUCCUGGUGUAGCGGUGGAAUCGCAGAUAUCAGGAGGAACACCGAUGGCGAAGGCAGAUCUCUGGGCCGUAACUGACGCUGAGGAGCGAAAGCAUGGGGAGCGAACAGG
rnacentral:rRNA from 1 species